UGUGGGAGCGAGCCUGCUCGCGAAAGCGUCAUUUCAGUCAGAAGUUGAUUCAACUGACAGAAUGCUUUCGCGAGCAGGCUCGCUCCCACA
rnacentral:misc_RNA from 1 species